rnacentral:ribozyme from 1 species
AAGCUAUACUCUAUUUUUCACACGGAGGGGUCAGCAGUAUUCGUGGAUUUACAGGAUGUUGCAUAAUCAAGCUCGAUUCACAGCAGUGCAGGAACGCUUCAACAAGAUGAAGAUCGACAUGGAAAAGAAGAAGGAAGUUGCCGUCCG